UCCCAGAAUAGCUCUUUGUAAUAGUUAAGCUUUAUUUAAAAGAAUGUGGAGAACCUGGAAAUAGUCCAAAGAAGAAUAGGCAAAAUGAUUAAAGGGACAGGAAAUAAAUUAUCUCAGAAAAAGCUAGAGUGAGUUAAAAGGAGAAAGCAACGGUAUUAUAUAACUGGUCUGAUUCACCAAACCUUCUUACAAAUAAAAGUUGGUGGCCUUGGGAAGUUAUACUGGAAAAGCCGGCACACACACUUGCGAACCACAAAGGAUGAAGGAAGUCUUCCAGGUCUACUUCCAACUCCUGAUUGCUCUAGCUUUUUUUCUGAUUUCUCAUAAAACUUAAAGUAUAAAUAAGAAAUGAGAAAUAGGUUGCAUUAUAUGACCUAAGUCUGAUUAACUGGUGGAAGUUGUUUUGAGAAUUAUGAAUUUUCAUUUCUACAAUGAUUAGGAUCUCCUUUUAAAAAAAAUUGGUAGGAGAUUAACAUCACAUUCAGCUAUGACUCAUCAAGAGGCUAGAAUCCAUGAGAAUUCUGUGGCAGUUAGUUCCUGAGUCUUCCAAGGAAAAGCUUGGAAGACUAUCUCUCAAACACACGUCUUUAUUUUGGGAACAAGAUAUUCUGAUCACAGAAACUCUCAGCCAAGAACCAGCAAGAACAAUAAAAUAUUCUCCAUUUGCUUUCUGUAUUGGUCAGUGCCCAGCCAAGAAAACAAAAUUACUACACAAGAGAGGUAAAUACAAAUAUAUCAAGAUGAUAAAGAAGACCAUUAGAUACCCUUCAUUAACCAAGAAGAAAGUUUCUUACCUCAUCAGCAGCCUUACCAUCUACUUUACAGGGUUUUUGGACCAGAAUGGCAGCUACUCUGUGUGACACUACAGCAAAACGUAAGGCAGUUGUCAAAUGUUCAUCACCCACAUAUAUCCCUGGAUAUUAAAUUGAAGUCAAAUUUUAUGAGAUUGUCACCUGACAGGAUUUGGGCAUUUUUGUUUACUUUUCCCAUCUUGUAUUGUCUAUAAUAGGAUAUAUGGAAGACUGUCUAUAAG
rnacentral:lncRNA from 1 species